rnacentral:rRNA from 1 species
CACGUAGGGUGCGAGCGUUGUCCGGAAUUAUUGGGCGUAAAGGGCGCGUAGGCGGUGCGGUAAGUCACCUGUGAAACCUCUAGGCUCAACCUAGAGCCUGCAGGCGAAACUGCCGUGCUUGAGGGUGGGAGAGGUGCGUGGAAUUCCCGGUGUAGCGGUGAAAUGCGCAGAUAUCGGGAAGAACACCCGUGGCUAAGGCGGCUCUCUAGUACGGUACUGACGCUGAGACGCGAAAGCGUGGGGAGCGAACAGG